rnacentral:piRNA from 1 species
CUAAGAAUUCAACAUAAUGUUU